rnacentral:tRNA from 1 species
CAGGGAAUAGUUUAAAAAAACAUUAAUUUUGGAGAUUGAAAAUGAAGCUAGCUUUUUCCUUGA